rnacentral:rRNA from 1 species
UUGGCGGUGUGCCUAAUACAUGCAAGUCGAACGAUGGUUAUUUUGUAGUAAUACGAAGUGAUCAUAGUGGCGAACGGGUGAGUAACGCGUUGGUGAUCUGCCUCGAAGUGUGGAAUAACGUUCCGAAAGGAACGCUAAUACCGCAUGUGCUCUCGAUUUUUAGAAACUUGAGAGUAAAGGAUUUAUUCGCUUCGAGAGGAGCCUGCGUCCCAUCAGCUAGUUGGUAAGGUAAUGGCCUACCAAGGCAAUGACGGGUAGGGGACCUGAGAGGGUGGCCCCCCACAAUGGAACUGAAACACGGUCCAUACACCUCCGGGUGGCAGCAGUAAGGGAAUAUUUGAAAUGGACGAAAGUCUGAUCUAACGACACCGCGUGUGCGAGGAAGGCCUUCGGGUUGUGAAGCACUUUUUG